CCCAAAACCAUUUGCUUGAAAGUAAAAGAACAAAAAACCCCUUCACUCACUUGCUCUCUCCCUUUACUCGUGAUCCUCUCCCUCCUCUUCACUUGACUCUCCUCCACCGUCACCCCACCGCACCGCCAGCGCCGCCAAUAUACUCCUCUCCCCUUCUCGGCGUUGUUGAUGCGCUGUGUUGCCGGUGUUGUUGUUGAUCUGCUCAUGUCGGUCUCCUUGCUCCGCCCCUCCCUCUCGUGUGUCAUCCAUACCACCACCGCCGACGGUGGCCUUAAAUGGUCGUCGUCGAUAUUCCAUUACUCAAUGGUAAUCUAUCUAACUCCUCUUUGCAAAUUGAUUGAGCUGAAUAAGUAAAACCCCAAAUAAACAAAACCCUAACUUUCUCUUCUUUGAUUUUCUCUCCUCUUGUUCGGUGCAACACUCCCUUCGUCGGAGUCGUGCUGUGGUGGUGUGGUGAUGCCGCCGGUGGGGUUUCCUUGCUAUCUUUCUCCUCCGCUCUCCCCUGCAUGUUCCGUCCUCUCCUCUCCUCCCUACCCGCCGGAGCUCCGUGGCUGCCGCUGGAGGUGCGGUUGCUGUUGUGGUUGCUGAUUAAGUUGAUUGAUCUGUGAUUGAAGAACGAUCAAGGUGAAUCAAAGUAUGGGGUUAUGCGGAGAGCCGUGACCAAGUGUGUAUACUUGGAGUUUAUAUAUUUGGUGAUUCAAUGUACACAUCGUCCAACCAACUUCAGUGUUUGAAAAUAUAUCUUGUGUUUAAGUAUCAUGUAUAUAUAUAUAUGUAUAGAUUGAAUGUCGUUUUGCGAAUUGAAUGUUAGUUUGCGUAUUAAAUUGUGUUUUGCAAAA